rnacentral:rRNA from 1 species
GUUACAGCCGCCGCGGUAAUACGGGCGGAGCAAGCGUUGUUCGGAUUUAUUGGGUGUAAAGGGUGCGCAGGCGGUCGACUAAGUCAGAAGUGAAAUGUCUACGGCUCAACCGAGACACUGCUCCUGAUACUGGUUGACUUGAGUGCGGAAGGGGAGCGUGGAAUUCCUGGUGUAGCGGUGAAAUGCGUAGAUAUCAGGAGGAACACCGGUGGCGAAGGCGACGCUCUGGUCCGUAACUGACGCUCAUGCACGAAAGCCAGGGGAGCGAACGGGAUUAGAAACCCCAGUAGUCC